rnacentral:rRNA from 1 species
GAAAGGCCAAUCAAACCGGGAGAUAGCUGGUUCUCCCCGAAAGCUAUUUAGGUAGCGCCUCGUGAACUCAUCUUCGGGGGUAGAGCACUGUUUCGGCCAGGGGGUCAUCCCGACUUACCAACCCGAUGCAAACUGCGAAUACCGAAGAAUGUUAUCACGGGAGACACACGGCGGGUGCUAACGUCCGUCGUGAAGAGGGAAACAACCCAGACCGCCAGCUAAGGUCCCAAAGUCAUGGUUAAGUGGGAAACGAUGUGGGAAGGCCCAGACAGCCAGGAUGUUGGCUUAGAAGCAGCCAUCAUUUAAAGAAAGCGUAAUAGCUCACUGGUCGAGUCGGCCUGCGCGGAAGAUGUAACGGGGCUAAACCAUGCACCGAAGCUGCGGCAGCGA